rnacentral:rRNA from 1 species
AGAGUUUGAUCCUGGCUCAGGACGAACGCUGGCGGCGUGCUUAACACAUGCAAGUCGAACGGAAAGGCCCUGCUUGCAGGGUACUCGAGUGGCGAACGGGUGAGUAACACGUGGGUGAUCUGCCCUGCACUUCGGGAUAAGCCUGGGAAACUGGGUCUAAUACCGGAUAGGAGCCAUUUUUAGUGUGAUGGUUGGAAAGUUUUUUCGGUGUAGGAUGAGCUCGCGGCCUAUCAGCUUGUUGGUGGGGUAAUGGCCUACCAAGGCGGCGACGGGUAGCCGGCCUGAGAGGGUGGACGGCCACAUUGGGACUGAGAUACGGCCCAGACUCCUACGGGAGGCAGCAGUGGGGAAUAUUGCACAAUGGGCGCAAGCCUGAUGCAGCGACGCCGCGUGGGGGAUGACGGCCUUCGGGUUGUAAACUCCUUUCGCUAGGGACGAAGCUUUUGUGACGGUACCUAGAUAAGAAGCACCGGCUAACUACGUGCCAGCAGCCGCGGUAAUACGUAGGGUGCGAGCGUUGUCCGGAAUUACUGGGCGUAAAGGGCUCGUAGGUGGUUUGUCGCGUCGUCUGUGAAAUUCCGGGGCUUAACUCCGGGCGUGCAGGCGAUACGGGCAUAACUUGAGUACUGUAGGGGUAACUGGAAUUCCUGGUGUAGCGGUGAAAUGCGCAGAUAUCAGGAGGAACACCGAUGGCGAAGGCAGGUUACUGGGCAGUUACUGACGCUGAGGAGCGAAAGCAUGGGUAGCGAACAGGAUUAGAUACCCUGGUAGUCCAUGCCGUAAACGGUGGGCGCUAGGUGUGAGGGUCUUUUUCACGACUUUCGUGCCGUAGCUAACGCAUAAGCGCCCCCGGCUGGGGGAGUACGGGCCGCAAGGCUAAACUCAAAGGAAUUGACGG